UGGGGAAUCUUGCACAAUGGGCGAAAGCCUGAUGCAGCAACGCCGCGUGCGGGAAGACAGCCCUAGGGUUGUAAACCGCUUUCAGCAGGGAAGAAACUGACGGUACCUGCAGAAGAAGAUGCGGCCAACUACGUGCCAGCAGCCGCGGUGACACGUAGGCAUCAAGCGUUAUCCGGAUUUAUUGGGCGUAAAGGGCGCGUAGGCGGCCCGAUAAGUCCAAGGUGAAAGCCCUCGGCUCAACCGAGGAACUGCCUUGGAUACUGUCGGGCUCGAGGCUGGAAGAGGGUGAUGGAAUUCCCGGUGUAGCGGAUGAAAUGCGUAGAUAUCGGGAGGAACACCGGUGGCGAAGGCGGUCACCUGGGCCAGUACUGACGCUGAGGCGCGAAAGCGUGGGGAGCAAACAGGAUUAGAUACCCUGGUAGUCCACGCCGUAAAACGAUGAGUGCUAGUCGUCGGCAGGCAUGCCUGUCGGUGACGCAGCUAACGCA
rnacentral:rRNA from 1 species